UACAGAGGUCCCGAGCGUUGUUCGGAUUCACUGGGCGUAAAGGGUGCGCAGGUGGGUUGGCAAGUUUGAUGUGAAAGCCCCGGGCUUAACCCGGGAAUGGCAUUGAGUACUGCUGAUCUGGAGGAUCGGAGGGGGGACUGGAAUUCUUGGUGUAGCAGUGAAAUGCGUAGAUAUCAAGAGGAACACCAGUGGCGAAGGCGAGUCCCUGGACGAUACCUGACACUGAGGCACGAAAGCCAAGGGAGCAAACAGGA
rnacentral:rRNA from 1 species